ACAGUUUUGAUUUUGUUUGCUCCAGCUCGUCAUUCGGUUUUGUGAUUUAGAACGUAGCAUACGUCAAUUUCAUUUUUCGUUCGUUUAUUUUUCUAUUUCAAAUAAUUGUUCUGUUGCUGCUGAUUUUCAAUGGUUUUCCGAAGCGUUAGUUUUUGAAAUUGUUAGUUGCUGGUUAUUUUUUUUUCUCAAUCAUAAGUGUUUUUCGUUGAUAAAAUCAUAAAAUGAGCCCUCAUCUCGAGAAAUAAAUUCAUAUAAUUUGCGAUAAAUUUUACAUCCGUUACUCCGUUUCGGUCGAAGUUAGCGAUGAAGAAUCGACACUCGCACACAUCGAGAAUUAAAUUGAAAUGAUUGUGAAUGAAGCGAACAGAAGAAGAAAAAAAAAACCAUCAAGCCGCACACUCGGAUUAAAAAGAAAAUACAUAGAGAAAAUGGCAACAAUUUUUUUUCUUCCAUUCGUUCAUUUUGAAAUACUGAUGAACAUUGUGCACACACUUUGCAAUACACACAAAACAGGGUGAGAAAGAAUUCAUGUAGAUGUAGUUCAUUGAAGGAACAGAAACAGUGACAAUUUUAGCCUUUUUUGUUUGGUUUGUGUUGAGAGUGUCAAACUCUCGAAUUCCAUUCAUUUAUUGAGCAAAAUGUUCGUUGACCAAUUAUAUUAUUUCAUAAAAAAAUAUUUCUUGAAAAAAAUCCGCAAAUCGAAAGGAUUUUAUUUGAUGAAAAGAAAUUUCGGCGAAUGAACCUCAUCUUUUUCUUCUUCUCACAAAUAUUAUUCGAUUCUAUUCUUGGCGCAGUCAUGAAAAGAAAACCAAUUCAACUCAAAUUCUAAAUACAUAAUUGUAAAUAAUUUGUAGGAUCGUAGUUUGUCUGUACAUCUGGUGGCUGAUUUGAUCAUUGGCCGUUUUUAUUUAAGAAAAUUCGUAACAAUCAUGUUUUUUAAAUCUUUGCGCUGAACUACUUCAGUGUAUCGAAAUGUGUUGAUUGUACGAAUAUGAGUGCCAUUAAAAGUGCCAACGUUUACAGUAUUCAUAUUUAGUGUCAUUUCCAUCUCUCUCGCAUUCUCGUAAAGUAAACAUUUAUAAAAAUUGUUCAAAACAAUGAAAGGAAGUUGACUGGGACAUCCAAAGCAAAUGUAUAUUGUGUAACUUGCACCGAAUUUCAUUCUUUCGGGAAAAACCGAAUGAAACCGAAAGAGAAAAUUACCCGCGCGCCACGAGUCGGUCGGUAUGUUGAAAUUCGAUAACGGCAAUUUUUAUCCUAACAAGUAACAACAACAGCGACAAGAAAACCAAAAUGUGCCAUGUGGAAAUGAACUGCAAGAAGAGGGCCGAGAUAAAAAAAAAAUAAA